rnacentral:rRNA from 1 species
CACGCAGUAAACGAUGAUUACUUGCUGUUUGCGAUACACAGUAAGCGGCGAAGCGAAAGCGUUAAGUAAUCCACCUGGGGAGUACGUUCGCAAGAAUGAAACUCAAAGGAAUUGACGGGGGCCCGCACAAGCGGAGGAACAUGUGGUUUAAUUCGAUGAUACGCGAGGAACCUUACCCGGGCUUGAAAUGCAUCUGACAGGAGCAGAGACGCUCUCUCCCUUCGGGGCAGAUGUGUAGGUGC